rnacentral:rRNA from 1 species
AAUAUGGCACAAGGGAUGAAACGCUGAUGCAGUGACGCCGCUUGAACUAUGAUUGCUNNNUAGUCNUCAAUUACUUUCCUAGGNGACNAGAAUGACGGUACCCUAGGAGGAAGCCUCGGCUAACUACGUGCCAUCAGACUCGGUAAUACGUAGAGGGCAAGCGUUGUCCGGAUUUAUUUGGCGUAAAGGGUUCGCAGGCGGCCUUUUAAGUCAGAUGUGACAGACUACAGCUCAACUGUGGUAAGCAUUUGAAACUGAAAGGCUUGAGUUAAGGAGAGGAAAGUGGAAUUCCUAGUGUAGCGGUGAAAUGCGUAGAUAUUAGGAGGAAUACCAGUGGCGAAGGCGACUUUCUGGACUUAUACUGACGCUGAGGAACGAAAGCGUGGGGAGCAAACAGG